rnacentral:rRNA from 2 species
UGGAUCCAGACUUUGAUCCUGGCUCAGGAUGAACGCUAGCUACAGGCUUAACACAUGCAAGUCGAGGGGAAACGACAUCGAAAGCUUGCUUUUGAUGGGCGUCGACCGGCGCACGGGUGAGUAACGCGUAUCCAACCUGCCCAUCACUUGGGAAUAACCUUGCGAAAGUAAGACUAAUACCCAAUGACAUCCCACGAAGGCAUCCGAAUGGGAUUAAAGAUUUAUCGGUGAUGGAUGGGGAUGCGUCUGAUUAGCUUGUUGGCGGGGUAACGGCCCACCAAGGCAACGAUCAGUAGGGGUUCUGAGAGGAAGGUCCCCCACAUUGGAACUGAGACACGGUCCAAACUCCUACGGGAGGCAGCAGUGAGGAAUAUUGGUCAAUGGGCGAGAGCCUGAACCAGCCAAGUAGCGUGCAGGAUGACGGCCCUAUGGGUUGUAAACUGCUUUUAUAAGGGAAUAAAGUGAGUCUCGUGAGACUUUUUGCAUGUACCUUAUGAAUAAGGACCGGCUAAUUCCGUGCCAGCGGCCGCGGUGAUACGGAAGGUCCGGGCGUUAUCCGGAUUUAUUGGGUUUAAAGGGAGCGUAGGCCGGAGAUUAAGCGUGUUGUGAAAUGUAGAGGCUCAACCUCUGCACUGCAGCGCGAACUGGUCUUCUUGAGUACGCACAACGUGGGCGGAAUUCGUGGUGUAGCGGUGAAAUGCUUAGAUAUCACGAAGAACUCCGGUUGCGAAGGCAGCUCACGGGAGCGCAACUGACGCUGAAGCUCGAAAGUGCGGGUAUCGAACAGGAUUAGAUACCCUGGUAGUCCGCACGGUAAACGAUGGAUGCCCGCUGUUGGCCUGAAUAGGUCAGCGGCCAAGCGAAAGCAUUAAGCAUCCCACCUGGGGAGUACGCCGGCAACGGUGCAACUCAAAUGAAUUGACGGA